GGGAGGGUGGGAAAAACGGACCUGCGUGGGGCAGGGCCUACCGGAUGAUUGGCACCGAGUGCUGGGUUAGCCUCCCGACUCCUGCUAGGCUCCCUCGGUGCUGAGUGAACGAGCGCCACGUGGCUCUUGGCCACUUCUGGCUAGCCUGGUUGUCCCCAAGCUGCAAGGUGAUGAAUCCCAUGGAGUGACGACAUUCUAUUCCUCAAGAUCCGACCUUCUCACAUUCUGCCUCUCUUCCAUCAGCUGAACCGUGGGAAUUUCUUCUGUUUGGUACAUUCCUGUCCUGAUGCCUGCAUACUGUUCAAACAAUGGACUGGAAGAAAUUGCAGUUUCCCCAGGACUCUCAUUCUGGAAGAAGAGAAAGAUUAAAGCCUGGACCAGCCAGAGAGGAAACUUAUCUCCUGGAACUUUUAAACCACUGUGCCAAAAACACUCCAGUCCUCCACUUACACUGUAACCUUGGGUCAGGACCCUGAAGAUGCACUUGGAAAGUUACUGGGCCUCUCUGUCUCUGUUCCUACUGUGCUCAUAUUAAAUUAAUUUCCCUCUUC
rnacentral:lncRNA from 1 species